AUGUGAUCUGUGCGAAAUCGGAGACAAAUGGCGGCCGGUGCGUAUACGGAUCAGCUGGAAGCUUACUUUCGGAGAGCGGAGCUGAGGCCGUCGCUUUCUUUCAAGGCGCCAAUUUGCCCAAACCAGUUCUUGCUCAGAAGCAGCUUCCCAAAGCUGGUACUUGGGUGCUUCUCAAUUUCAGAUUCUAGGAGAAGCAAGUUGGAUCAAAAGCCACUUUCUAGACAUUUACCAAACAGCAUAACAUAAACCCAAAAGCAGAAGCAGGUCCAGAAGCACCUUCAAAAUCAAUCCCAAACUGGGCCUAAGCUCCAGGUAAGCUUCUUAUUUGGUCGAAUGGUUUCACAUUUUGGGUGCGAUUGGUUGGGUUUUGAAUUUCAGUGCAUGCAACUUUGGGUGGUAGAAAAUUGAAAUGGAGAGGAAAUAGCUUUGGUUGGAUAGAUAGUUUGAGAGAGACCGAGAUUGAUUGAUUGGGUUAGGGAUAGGGUCUGGAUUCGAAUUCUGUAAUCCAAUUACAGUCUCCAAGAGCUUUUGGUGGACUUGGACAGAGAGGGAGGGGACUUUUCGCUGCCAAUUAGAAGAAGAAGAAGAAGAAGAUUUGCUGAGGGAAAGUCUAGAGAGGAGGAAGGGAUGUCUUGGUCGGUUUCAGUCUGUUCCCAAUUUGGGAAUUUCCGUUUCACAUUCAAAGUUUCAAUCUUUAAAUUAAGUAUCAGCUAACUUAUAAAUUUUUCGGUCAAUUUUGUUGGGUUCAGCUUUUUGAGAUUAUUCGAUUAAGGGUUUUAUGUAAAAUUUCAUCAUCCUGAGCUUGGCUUUGAUAGUUUCUUCUGAUCGAUUGCCAUUUAAGGUGGUCUAUGCUUUGGGUUCAUCUGUUUCUUUUGCUUUGCCUCAUUUGUUUUAGAUUCUGUGUUCAUAUAGUAUACAUCGAACAGAGCCUGCAUCAUAAGACAGAUUUUGUGGGUAUUUUUUUUUUUUUUUUGAGCUUCUUCUGAUCGUUUAUAAGCUCAAAAUGGUUGUUUUAUGUGUUUUUUUUGGGUUAAUUGGUAAUUUCCUUAUUCAGGGCACGAUCUGCUUCACGAAUGAGUUUUCUUCUCUGAAUUUCUUGACUGCCAAUUCUAAUCCCCUUAACGCAGCAGAAGAACCCUUAAACCUUUUUUCCUUUUGGGAAUUUGAUUAAAGUUUGUUCCUUUUCUUUUGUGAUUGAAUCUUGGCAGUCAAAACUAUUGCAAAGAAGAUAGAAAAACAACCUGGAAUUAUAGUGACCCUGUUUGAAAGUGUUAUCAAAAGUUAAUUAGUUUUAUGCAUCUUAGGCAAACUUUAAUUGAAAAUAGUUUGGGUGUUAGGUCGACUGCUGAGAUAAUCAAGGAAGUGAAUGGAAAUUUAAGGUAUUCAAAUUUCGGUCUGUAUAGUACUUGGAAGUGAAAACGCAAACUUAGUUCAAGGUGAAUGCCUUACCGGAAAAAAUGUAUACAUAUAGUGCUGCAAUUAUAAAAGUACAGUUUAGUGGCACCAGCAUUACUCUUUUGCA